rnacentral:rRNA from 1 species
GUAGGUGGCAAGCGUUGUCCGGAAUUAUUGGGCGUAAAGCGCGCGCAGGCGGUCCUUUAAGUCUGAUGUGAAAGCCCACGGGCUCAACCGUGGAGGGUCAUUGGAAACUGGGGGACUUGAGUACAGAAGAGGAAAGCGGAAUUUCAAGUGUAGCGGUGAAAUGCGUAGAGAUUUGGAGGAACACCAGUGGCGAAGGCGGCUUUCUGGUCUGUAACUGACGCUGAGGCGCGAAAGCGUGGGGAGCAAACAGGAUUAGAUACCCUGGUAGUCCACGCCGUAAACGAUGAGUGCUAAGUGUUAGGGGGUUUCCGCCCCUUAGUGCUGCAGCUAACGCAUUAAGCACUCCGCCUGGGGAGUACGGCCGCAAAGGCUGA